GAUGAACGCUGGCGGCGUGCCUAAUACAUGCAAGUCGAGCGAAUGGAUUAAGAGCUUGCUCUUAUGAAGUUAGCGGCGGACGGGUGAGUAACACGUGGGUAACCUGCCCAUAAGACUGGGAUAACUCCAGGAAACCGGGGCUAAUACCGGAUAACAUUUUGAACCGCAUGGUUCGAAAUUGAAAGGCGGCUUCGGCUGUCACUUAUGGAUGGACCCGCGUCGCAUUAGCUAGUUGGUGAGGUAACGGCUCACCAAGGCAACGAUGCGUAGCCGACCUGAGAGGGGGCUCGGCCACACUGGGACUGAGACACGGCCCAGACUCCUACGGGAGGCAGCAGUAGGGAAUCUUCCGCAAUGGACGAAAGUCUGACGGAGCAACGCCGCGUGAGUGAUGAAGGCUUUCGGGUCGUAAAACUCUGUUGUUAGGGAAGAACAAGUGCUAGUUGAAUAAGCUGGCACCUUGACGGUACCUAACCAGAAAGCCACGGCUAACUACGUGCCAGCCGCCGCAGUAA
rnacentral:rRNA from 1 species